CCUGGAAUCACCAUUGAUGAAAAAGAAAUUAAUUUGGCAAAAGAUUUUUUAAAAUACAUUUGUUGAAAUAUUUGGAAGGUAGUAAGUAGAUCAAGAUUAUGCUUUUCUUUUCUGAUAAUCGUCAAAUCCCGCAGAAAUUUUUUUGCAAUGAUGUUAUGGAUGAUUCUAAUGUCUUUUUCCGAUAAUUGAAUGCUUUAAAUCAGUUGGAGGGCUCAAAUGUGUUUAAUUUGUUCCUUUGGUGGUCAUAAAGGUGGUCAUUCUAAUAUGAGGACAUUAGAAAUAUAAUAAACCUCAUUAGCUUUGUAUUGGAGCAAAUAUUAUUGCUAAAGCAAAUGUGACUUGCCACCUUGGCAUUGUGGAGGGGCUGAUGUUAAGUUUCAUAAUCUUGAAAGAAAUUGGAGCUAUUCAAAAAGGAAUUUAAUAAAAUUCUGGAUUUUUGUGCUAAUAUAGCAAAAAGAACCAAAGCGUGAAAAUGGACAAAUUCUGCCUUGUAGUUUCCCUUUGUUUUCAACAACUCGAGGUUUUGAUGGGAUACAUGAUAUUUCUCAAGGAUGGCUGGCCUUCUCUCUUGCUUUUCUUCCUCUUCUUCUUCUUCCCUUUUGUUGCUAUAAAUGAAGAAAGGUGAAGGAACUGUUCCUUAAAGACAGGGAAAGACAUGCCCUGUAAGUUUCUUGUGUACCUAUGAAGAUAAGUAGUCCCACCAACCCCCCACAACACCACACCCCUCCCCCCCUGGCCCACCUCCUUAUGACAUGGUUAUAUAAAUGCGUUGGCUGAGGUGAUAAGUUAUUACAAUGCUCAGUUAACAGUUCCAUAUUAUUUAUUUAUUUUUUGUCUGCUUUCAAUCCUGAUAAGUGUGGAACGGUUUGUUUUCAAUGAGAUUGCAUUUAAUUUUUGUUGCAAAAGAUUUUUAAUUGUUGGUUUUCUUAAUUUGUGGUAGCUGCAACCAUUUUCCACAAUACUUAUCUAGUACAUAAUAAAUUGUAGUGAUAUUAACCGGCUUCAAAGUUAUCUGUGAUCGUGUGUGAGCUAUUAGACAACUGAUGUCACAAUUAAUGUUUUUCUAUUGAAAGGAUUUUUUUUCAUUGUGCAACUUUCUGAAUCACUGUAACUUUGAGAGAGCAUAUCUAUAGUUGUUUUUAUUUUUUUCUAAAAUUCAGUAUAAUUGCUUGGUUUGAUCACUGAUGGUCUUGAGCGUGCUACUUAGUGCUAUGUUGGCUUUGUGCGAAUUGGUUACAUCGAGUGAUUAUCUUUCAUGAAGAUUGUAAAUUCAAUAAGUGUUUUAAACAUUUAUGUUAUAUACAAUGCUGAUAUAAAAAUUACACCAGACGGUGUACAUAUGCUUUUGGUCUCAUUACUUGCCUGUUAGUCCCUAUGUGAAUUAUAAGGAAAUAUUUCCUAGAUGUGCCAGGCAUUAUGACAGCUGGUUAGUGAUUUCUUUUUUAUUUUUUUCAUUGAGUGGUGUUUUGGCACAUCGAAUGACAUUUACUGUUCCUUGGAAUUUUCUUUAUGAAGCAUAUUGGAUGAUGUUUUGAUGAAUGCUUUCUAAAAUCAUCAAUAUUCUUGAGAAAGCUGAUUUUUCAGAUUCAAAAAAAAAGGAGAGAGUAUUCUAAUGAUAACUAAUUAAGUUUUGUUUUUAUAUAUAUAUAUAAGGUACUUGAAUCCUUUUUUAAAAAUUCAUCACAGCUUCAAAAAAUAUUUGUGUUUCCAAAGUUGCAAGGAUCAUAUUCUCUAUUUUCUGUUGUUCUCUCAUUAUUUAGUUUCUGGAGAAGGGUGUUUAGUACUUUUGUGGUACUAUGGGUUGGUCCAAUUUUAAAGAACCUGUUUUUUUUUUUAUGUUUCUGUGCUUUUGCUUAUUUAUUUGAGUCUAAUGGUAGGAUUUAAUGAUCACUUGCCUGUGCAGCAUCUGUGGGACGUUAUCUCACACACAUAUGGAUGCAUGUACACAUGAUGUGUUACUAGAUAAUGUA
rnacentral:misc_RNA from 1 species